GUGAAGGCAGUGAUGAUAAAAACCUACCUAUUUUAUGAUCUCUGAUUAGAAAAUAUACCAAUGGAUCCUUCUGAGCCUUCA
rfam:Arabis alpina cultivar Pajares chromosome 6, whole genome shotgun sequence.